rnacentral:lncRNA from 1 species
GGCCGGCAUAGAGAUUGCAAGCUUCGACAGUAGGUCGGCAUAAGAAUUCUCUGAUCUUAGGAUAUGUUGAAUGUCAAAAUCUUCAAAUAUUGAGGUUAAGUCCCUUACCUUUUAUAAAUAUUUCAUUAUGUUUGUUGGACCUUAGCCCUUAACCAACUUCUCAAAGAUAAUUGCCUAAGGGUAGAUGGAGUUUAUUAAUCUUUAUUAACUGCACAGAACCUGCAUCCCUGAGUUGACCUGUAUCAAGCCAGAUCAUCCUCAUGUGACAAGCUGGGUGGU